CCGGGCAGCGCCCCCCGCAGCACCGGCAGAGCCCGGGAGCGACCCGCGUCCGGCCGCGGCACCAGCUACGGGCCCCAGCAGAGCAUCGGCCCCGCUCCCGGAGCGCGGCGGCAGCGGGCAGUGCUGCCCGUCCGCCCCAGCCCCGCCGCGGGAGGCUCGGCAGGGAACGAGCGGCGCCAGCCCGAGAGGAUGCUGCUUAGCGGCUUUUCCAAGCAGUCCUUCCCUGUCAGAAAGGAGCCCGCGCGAGGUACUUGGGAGGAGGAAAAGCCAGCAGCCACAUCUCCUCCUGGGUCAGUCCAUCACGCAUCAAUCCAGCAAGGCAGAGACAGGGAAAGUGGCAUCUCCAGAAUGAUGCUCCCUACCAAUCCACCCGGCCACGGGAGCACUGGAGAGUUUCAUCUAGAGUCCAGCACUGAGCUACAGCAGGAAGGGUAAAGUUGGAGCAGAUAAGAACAAGCCCACACUAACUUCUUGGGAGUAGAAGAACAGUCACUUCCCCACCCCAAAUCGGUAAAUCACAGGGAGGGCAGGAGGUGUGUCCUACACUGCUCAGAGACAGCCAGGCCUGGAGGUCCCUGCCUGCCUGACCCCCCAGAUGCUCCAUGCUAUAGAAACUCAGAUAGAACCCAGCUUUGGCAGAUUCUCCAGUAAAGAUCCUGAAUGUUCAGAUUAGACUGGGCUCUCCCCCAGUCCAAUCAGUGUAAAAAGGAAAGCAGCACGCGCUGGAGCACAAGAUUUUAAGGAUAAGCAUGAAUCCCUUUCAUCCUUUCUGACAGAGGCUGACAUGGGCAAAAUAAUGAGCUCUCACCCUUCCUAUGUGAGCACUACAAGGUGAGAACUGAUUUUCAAGCCACAUGGAUCAGCUCAUCACACACACUAGAAGAGUACCUGGCAGCAGCAUGGGAUUUCUGCACCCCUUCCUUCCUCACUGUGCAAUCUGUUUACACAUUUCCUGGUUCAGCAACCACAUCUCAUCAUGUACCAGUCCAUCAAUCCACCAAGUCAGCAACAGGGAAAGCGGCAUCUCCAGAGCAAUGCAUCCUCUCGUGUCCUUCCUAACCAUGGGAGUGACAAAGUGUUUCACCUACAGCCGGGAAUGCCAACCAAGCUUUGGGCUACAGGAGGGCAGAUGAAGUUAGAGCUGGACAGCUACUCAUCCAGCACAAACUCAGGCUUUUGGUUUCCAGUGUUGUGAUACCUCAGCAGAGUACCGGUUCCCCUGCACACUGGGAAGGAAGGGGAAGUGGGGGAAGGCUCUCACUUGCAACAGCUUCACCUCCAGCACUCUGCUUCCACUGAGAGCAAAUGUGGGGAAAGACUUCGAGCAAUUAAGUCAUAGAGUGACUUCACCCAGCAAAGACCACAGUCUGGAGAUAUUACCUUCUGAAUAAAAUAUUAAUAAAAUA